rnacentral:rRNA from 1 species
AGUGGCGGACGGGUGAGUAACGCGUGAGAAUCUGCCUUGGGGUCGGGGACAACCACUGGAAACGGUGGCUAAUACCGGAUAAGCCGAUUGGUGAAAGAUUUAUUGCCCGAAGAGGAGCUCGCGUCUGAUUAGCUAGUUGGUGAGGUAAGAGCUCACCAAGGCAGCGAUCAGUAGCUGGUCUGAGAGGACGAUCAGCCACACUGGGACUGAGACACGGCCCAGACUCCUACGGGAGGCAGCAGUGGGGAAUUUUCCGCAAUGGGCGAAAGCCUGACGGAGCAAGACCGCGUGAGGGGGGAAGGCUCUUGGGUUGUAAACCUCUUUUCUCAGGGAAGAAGCUCUGACGGUACCUGAGGAAUCAGCCUCGGCUAACUCCGUGCCAGCAGCCGCGGUAAUACGGAGGAGGCAAGCGUUAUCCGGAAUUAUUGGGCGUAAAGCGUCCGCAGGUGGCGAUUCAAGUCUGCUGUCAAAGCACGGGGCUUAACUCCGUAAAGGCAGUGGAAACUGAAUAGCUAGAGUGCCGUAGGGGUAGAGGGAAUUCCCGGUGUAGCGGUGAAAUGCGUAGAGAUCGGGAAGAACAUCGGUGGCGAAAGCGCUCUACUGGACGGCAACUGACACUCAGGGACGAAAGCUAGGGGAGCGAAUGGGAUUAGAUACCCC